GGGUUGUGAGGUUAAGUGACUAAGCGUACACGGUGGAUGCCCUGGCAGUCAGAGGCGAUGAAGGACGUGCUAAUCUGCGAUAAGCGUCGGUAAGGUGAUAUGAACCGUUAUAACCGGCGAUUUCCGAAUGGGGAAACCCAGUGUGUUUCGACACACUAUCAUUAACUGAAUCCAUAGGUUAAUGAGGCGAACCGGGGGAACUGAAACAUCUAAGUACCCCGAGGAAAAGAAAUCAACCGAGAUUCCCCCAGUAGCGGCGAGCGAACGGGGAGCAGCCCAGAGCCUGAAUCAGUGUGUGUGUUAGUGGAAGCGUCUGGAAAGGCGCGCGAUACAGGGUGACAGCCCCGUACACAAAAAUGCACAUAUUGUGAGCUCGAUGAGUAGGGCGGGACACGUGGUAUCCUGUCUGAAUAUGGGGGGACCAUCCUCCAAGGCUAAAUACUCCUGACUGACCGAUAGUGAACCAGUACCGUGAGGGAAAGGCGAAAAGAACCCCGGCGAGGGGAGUGAAAAAGAACCUGAAACCGUGUACGUACAAGCAGUGGGAGCCUCUUUAUGGGGUGACUGCGUACCUUUUGUAUAAUGGGUCAGCGACUUAUAUUCUGUAGCAAGGUUAACCGAAUAGGGGAGCCGAAGGGAAACCGAGUCUUAACUGGGCGUUAAGUUGCAGGGUAUAGACCCGAAACCCGGUGAUCUAGCCAUGGGCAGGUUGAAGGUUGGGUAACACUAACUGGAGGACCGAACCGACUAAUGUUGAAAAAUUAGCGGAUGACUUGUGGCUGGGGGUGAAAGGCCAAUCAAACCGGGAGAUAGCUGGUUCUCCCCGAAAGCUAUUUAGGUAGCGCCUCGUGAAUUCAUCUCCGGGGGUAGAGCACUGUUUCGGCAAGGGGGUCAUCCCGACUUACCAACCCGAUGCAAACUGCGAAUACCGGAGAAUGUUAUCACGGGAGACACACGGCGGGUGCUAACGUCCGUCGUGAAGAGGGAAACAACCCAGACCGCCAGCUAAGGUCCCAAAGUCAUGGUUAAGUGGGAAACGAUGUGGGAAGGCCCAGACAGCCAGGAUGUUGGCUUAGAAGCAGCCAUCAUUUAAAGAAAGCGUAAUAGCUCACUGGUCGAGUCGGCCUGCGCGGAAGAUGUAACGGGGCUAAACCAUGCACCGAAGCUGCGGCAGCGACGCUUAUGCGUUGUUGGGUA
rnacentral:rRNA from 1 species